rnacentral:rRNA from 1 species
UACGGAGGAUGCAAGCGUUAUCCGGAUUUAUUCGGUUUAAAGGGUGCGCAGGUUGUUUGAUAAGUCAGUGGUGAAAGUCUGUCGCUUAACGGUAGGAUUGCCAUUGAUACUGUUGGACUUGAAUAUGGAUGAGGUAGGCGGAAUGUGUAGUGUAGCGGUGAAAUGCAUAGAUAUUACACAGAACACCGAUUGCGAAGGCAGCUUACUAAUCCAUCAUUGACGCCGAGGCACGAAAGCGUGGGGAUCAAACAGGAUUA